rnacentral:rRNA from 1 species
GACAGAGGCCCCGAGCGCUAAUCGGAAUUACUGGGCGUAAAGAGCGCGCAGGCGGUCGUUCAAGUCGAGUGUGAAAGCCCCCGGCUCAACUGGGGAGGGUCACUCGAUACUGAUCGACUUGAAGGCAGGAGAGGGAAGCGGAAUUCCCGGUGUAGUGGUGAAAUGCGCAGAUAUCAGGAGGAACACCAGUGGCGAAGGCGACUACCUGGCCUGUUUCUUGACGCUGAGGCGCGAAAGCUAGGGGAGCAAACGGG